AACAGGAUUAGAUACCCUGGUAGUCCACGCUGUAAACGAUGUCGACUUGGAGGUUGUUCCCUUGAGGAGUGGCUUCCGGAGCUAACGCGUUAAGUCGACCGCCUGGGGAGUACGGCCGCAAGGUUAAAACUCAAAUGAAUUGACGGGGGCCCGCACAAGCGGUGGAGCAUGUGGUUUAAUUCGAUGCAACGCGAAGAACCUUACCUACUCUUGACAUCCAGAGAACUUAGCAGAGAUGCUUUGGUGCCUUCGGGAACUCUGAGACAGGUGCUGCAUGGCUGUCGUCAGCUCGUGUUGUGAAAUGUUGGGUUAAGUCCCGCAACGAGCGCAACCCUUAUCCUUUGUUGCCAGCGGUUCGGCCGGGAACUCAAAGGAGACUGCCAGUGAUAAACUGGAGGAAGGUGGGGAUGACGUCAAGUCAUCAUGGCCCUUACGAGUAGGGCUACACACGUGCUACAAUGGCAUAUACAAAGAGAAGCGACCUCGCGAGAGCAAGCGGACCUCAUAAAGUAUGUCGUAGUCCGGAUCGGAGUCUGCAACUCGACUCCGUGAAGUCGGAAUCGCUAGUAAUCGUGGAUCAGAAUGCCACGGUGAAUACGUUCCCGGGCCUUGUACACACCGCCCGUCACACCAUGGGAGUGGGUUGCAAAAGAAGUAGGUAGCUUAACCUUCGGGAGGGCGCUUACCACUUUGUGAUUCAUGACUGGGGUGAAGUCGUAACAAGGUAACC
rnacentral:rRNA from 1 species